CGCGGCCUAUCAGCUUGUUGGUGGGGUAGUGGCUUACCAAGGCUUUGACGGGUAGCCGGCCUGAGAGGGUGACCGGCCACAUUGGGACUGAGAUACGGCCCAGACUCCUACGGGAGGCAGCAGUGGGGAAUAUUGCACAAUGGGCGGAAGCCUGAUGCAGCAACGCCGCGUGCGGGAUGACGGCCUUCGGGUUGCAAACCGCUUUCGCCUGUGACGAAGCGUGAGUGACGGUAAUGGGUAAAGAAGCACCGGCUAACUACGUGCCAGCAGCCGCGGUGAUACGUAGGGUGCGAGCGUUGUCCGGAUUUAUUGGGCGUAAAGGGCUCGUAGGUGGUUGAUCGCGUCGGAAGUGUAAUCUUGGGGCUUAACCCUGAGCGUGCUUUCGAUACGGGUUGACUUGAGGAAGGUAGGGGAGAAUGGAAUUCCUGGUGGAGCGGUGGAAUGCGCAGAUAUCAGGAGGAACACCAGUGGCGAAGGCGGUUCUCUGGGCCUUUCCUGACGCUGAGGAGCGAAAGCGUGGGGAGCGAACAGGCUUAGAUACCCUGGUAGUCCACGCUGUAAACGGUGGGUACUAGGUGUGGGGUCCAUUCCACGGGUUCCGCGCCGUAGCUAACGCUUUAAGUACCCCGCCUGGGGAGUACGG
rnacentral:rRNA from 1 species